rnacentral:lncRNA from 1 species
AAAAGGCCCCAAUACAUUUCUCUAGUCUAGUUUCUCCUACAAUUAAAUUGUUAUUUGUUGUAGUAGAACAUUUUUUCUCUCUCCAGCAGGCACAACAAUGCAGUGCGCUUUGGCCAGUCUGACAGUCCAGAAGACCAAUAGUCUUGUCCAGUAAAACAGUCUCAAAAUAGGAGCAAGGCUUAUACUGCUUACAUUGUGGCUGUGCUGCUGAAUACCAGCUGCCGACCAGAACUCUGACGUGUGUCUGGGCUUGGACAAAAGACAAAGCGUAUAUAUCUACUGUGGAAACCAUUCUACUGAUUAAAAAGCUACAAAGUGUUGAUGUUAUGUCGGCCUCA